AUGUUCACUUUGGGAGCAUAAAGGGCAGAACUGGAAUAAGACAAAGAAGAUUAGCAUGGCCUCUGCACAAGCAUGACAUGCAAAUUUGUGAGGCACACCAUAUUAAG